rnacentral:rRNA from 1 species
AGUGAACGCUGGCGGUAGGCCUAACACAUGCAAGUCGAACGGCAGCACAGGAGAGCUUGCUCUCUGGGUGGCGAGUGGCGGACGGGUGAGGAAUACAUCGGAAUCUACUUUUUCGUGGGGGAUAACGUAGGGAAACUUACGCUAAUACCGCAUACGACCUAAGGGUGAAAGCAGGGGACCUUCGGGCCUGUCGCGAUUGAAUGAGCCGAUGUCGGAUUAGCUAGUUGGCGGGGUAAAGGCCCACCAAGGCGCCGAUCCGUAGCUGGUCUGAGAGGAUGAUCAGCCACACUGGAACUGAGACACGGUCCAGACUCCUACGGGAGGCAGCAGUGGGGAAUAUUGGACAAUGGGCGCAAGCCUGAUCCAGCCAUACCGCGUGGGUGAAGAAGGCCUUCGGGUUGUAAAGCCCUUUUGUUGGGAAAGAAAUCCAGCUGGCUAAUACCCGGUUGGGAUGACGGUACCCAAAGAAUAAGCACCGGCUAACUUCGUGCCAGCCGCCGCGGUAA